rnacentral:rRNA from 1 species
AAUCAACGCUGGCGGCGUGCCUCAGACAUGCAAGUCGAACGAUUAAACUUUCCUUCGGGAAAGAUAUAAAGUGGCGCACGGGUGAGUAACACGUAAGUAAUCUACCUUCGAGUGGGGAAUAACAUCGGGAAGCCGAUGCUAAUACCGCAUAAUGCAGCGGCAUCGAAAGAUGACAGUUGUUAAAGGAGCAAUUCGCUUGAAGAGGAGCUUGCGGCAGAUAGCUAGUUGGUAAGGUAAUGGCUUACCAAGGCUACGAUCUGUAUCCGGUCUAAGAGGACGGUCGGACACACUGACACUGAAUAACGGGUCAGACUCCUACGGGAGGCAGCAGUCGGGAAUUUUGGGCAAUGGGCGAAAGCCUGACCCAGCAACGCCGCGUGAAGGAUGAAGUA